UCUCUCUUCACCAUCUCUCACGAUCUCUCUCUGAUUCUGAUUCGGACACAGGUUUCAACAUAAAUCACAACUAUACAAGGCAAGAAGAAUGGCUGAUGACAAAUGGACCGAUGAAGAAGUUAGGCAUUUCUUUGCUCUAUAUGCUGAUGAGAAAAAGAAAGGGAACAAACCAAGGAGUGGCAUAAAUCUAGCUGGAAGAGAGUUCAUCGUAAAUAAGUUUGAAGAGAAAUUUGGUAAGAGAUGGAUAUGGGACAGGUUUAAGAACAAGGUUGAUAUUAGUAGAAAAGCAUAUGUCAAGUUCAAGAAGCUUACCCACAACAGAACCGGACUUGUAUAUGAUGCUUUGGGAAGGUUGGCGAUGUCGGAAG